CCUACGGGCGGCUGCAGUGGGGAAUAUUGGGCAAUGGGCGCAAGCCUGACCCAGCAACGCCGCGUGAAGGAAGAAGGCUUUCGGGUUGUUAACUUCUUUUCUCAGGGAAGAAGAAAGUGACGGUACCUGAGGCAUAAGCCUCGGCUAACUACGUGCCAGCAGCCGCGGUAAUACGUAGGUGGCAAGCGUUAUCCGGAUUUAUUGGGUGUAAAGGGCGUGUAGGCGGGAGCGCAAGUCAGAUGUGAAAACUCAGGGCUCAACCCUGGGCCUGCAUUUGAAACUGUGUUUCUUGAGUGCUGGAGAGGCGAGCGGAAUUCCGUGUGUAGCGGUGAAAUGCGUAGAUAUACGGAGGAACACCAGUGGCGAAGGCGGAUUGCUGGACAGUAACUGACGCUGAGGCGCGAAAGCGUGGGGAGCAAACAGGAUUAGAUACCCGAGUAGUC
rnacentral:rRNA from 1 species